rnacentral:misc_RNA from 1 species
AAAGACAUCAGCGAUCAGACUUUUGAGGGGAAUUCCCAGAGAGUCGUUUCUCAGCUGUUCGUUCGCGCGGCGGGCAGGGCUCAAAUAUGUAAUCGCUUUUACGGCCUGUGCGCUGCUGUCUUAUCUUUCUUAAUACCGGUAUCUCCGGCGUUCCUCUUGUCUUAGGAGGGACACCUUAUCGGGUCACUUUCUGUGGCCGCCGCCAUUCCCAACGAUCGCUUACACGACCCGUAGGAGUUGCGCUAGGCUUACUGCGCUGUUUACUUCGACAGCGCUGACUUGCGACGACUCCGGCAGUGGAGCGCGGAACCAUAGGGCGUUCUCCUCGCCUCGGCACUGCUGGUUUUCCCCUGAAGAGAACGGUCUACAUUAUCCGAAGAUGGUGCAAACGACGAAUCGAAGUUCUGGUCAUUCGUCCAACCAGAAGGGCGGCGUCCGCGUUUACAAGAUCGUCGUUCUCGGCGAUGGAGGCGUGGGAAAAAGCGCUCUGACGCUACAGUUCGUGACUCACAGCUUCUUGGAGUACCACGACCCCACCAUUGAGGAUGCCUACCAGCAGAAGACAGUCAUUGAUGGGGAAGUGGCGCUACUGGACAUUCUGGACACAGCUGGCCAGAUUGAAUUCACGGCCAUGCGGGACCAGUACAUGCGCUGCGGAGAGGGCUUUGUCAUCUGCUACGCCAUCACCGACCGCAGAAGCCUGGAGGAAGCGGCAGAGUGCCGGAAACAGAUCGAGCGUGUCCGCUGUUCCGAGUCUGUGCCCAUGGUUCUGGUUGGCAACAAGUGUGACCUGGAAAGCUCUCGCCAGGUUUCCACCGAGGAAGGGCAGGCAUUGGCACGACAGAUGAACUGCCCCUUCUACGAGACCUCGGCGGCACUGCGUCACUUUGUGGACGACGUGUUCCACACGCUGGUCCGCGAGAUCCGGCGCCGGGAGAAGGAGCGACAGUUCCUGCUGCGGCGGGCCGCCCGCAGGAAGGCAUCCAGCGAGCGGUGGCAAGCAUUCACGCACGCCUGCCGCUCCCUGCUUUGCGUGCGCGGAUCCGGGGACGCCGCUGCCUCGUCUCAUUCCUGAGCGUGCGUCGUUUUUUUUUUUUUUUUCCGACCUUUCACUCUCGUUUGCCCGUCCAAGGCUUUGUCGUCUUUUGUCGUAUGCCAGCGUUGGCUUGGUCGGUGUGUGGGCCAAGCAUGGCCACGUGACCGCCUGAGUUGCCCGUUGCUGCUGCUGGUCAGAAACUCGUUCUCGGAACAAAAGUAGGGCAGCUAGGCUAUCACCGGUGUCUGUAAAUUGUUCCCUGGUCUGAGUAAAGUUUCGGUUUCUCUGCCAGCAAGCUGCGGGUUGCGGUGUCUUUAACUGUUGUCCCGUUCGUUAUAGCCUCUAGUUAAAGACCUCAGAGAAAGGUUACCUGUUCAGGACUUAGGGAAGGAAAACAUGCCCGAGCAGGACUAGAAAGCUAGUCACGAGGAUGUCACUGUCUGCUUGGAGCGGUUUUUACGGCCUUUUGCGGAGUUUAUGGCGCAUGAUGCAGCUCGACAUACUCGUGGUGUAUCCCUUGUUUAGGGAGUAAACUGUUGACUAAAACUUGUGAAGAAAACAAAGCCAGUGCAGUUUAAGAUUUGUCUUUUUCCCCUCUUGUUCAACUAGUGAACUUGCAGAUACAGUUGCAGUGCAGUGGGAGUACAGUGAUAAGAUCUUUCUCUUAGCCCUAGUUUUAAUUGUAGAGAACAGGCUUCAGUCACUAGUGCUCAUUGUCAUGUCCAGAGACUUGGAAGUUUCACUGCUUCAUCUUGUGGCAAGUAAAUAUUUACUCCAUGCCUGAGCAUUUCCAUGUUCUGUGGUACCAGCAGCACAGAUAAAAGAGGCGUACGCAACUAUUGCCAAAGUUAACAAAGGCAUCUUGUUUUCGUUGGUGCAAAUAUAAUGCGAGCAUUUGUUUGAGAAAGCCUUGUUAGUUUUGGGCAGUCACAUUGUUUUUAGCUUCACUGAGCGUCAGAUGUUGUAGGAAACGGAAUGAGCACUAAGCUGUUUGCUUUUGUCAGAAGCUCACACCUGUAUUCUUGCCGUGAAUCUGUGUGACAUUUUCAAACGAAUUCUGUACUCUUAGUGGAGCGUCUCUCAAAUGGGGGCUCACAGGCCCUUUAGUGGCCUUUGAAGUCACAGCUGGAGCCCUUGGAGCAAAGCUGCAACAUGUAAGGCAUUUUUCUCUCCUGAAAUUCAUGUCUUGUGUAGGUAACUUCAACUUCAUCAGUGGGAGCCACAAUCCAGGGUUUUUGCACGAACUCAUUUUAAUUUGGUUGUCUAUUGAAAUUAAACAGCUGCCAAAUAUCGAAUAGGUCUGUUCAACUGUUUUGUAUAUGAGUUGGCCUUGUGGUAGCUUGCAUCGGCUGUUACUAUGAGGAUAUGCUCAUAUUAACAGCCUUUAAUGGCAGCACUCUUUCACGUAAUGGUCUAUUCAGUUUGAUGUUGAUUGAGAUGUCUACAUUAGCAAUUUGAGGAUCGCCUAUACAAUGCCUAAUACACAUACCUAACAAAGUGUUUUAUAAACACUGUGAAACAGAUAAUGACAGGCAUGAGAAUGACAGCACUCAUUGUUAUCGAUCUUAUGUCUGUCAUUGUAAUUUUAGCACUGUUUGCUGUACCGGUAUGGCGAAUCAAGUAGCCCGAAAUGCCAGCUUGAUGAAAAGUUGAUCUGUGGGCUUCCAUUGCAGAUAUCGGUUGCCCGUAGCGUUUAAAUGCUGAUGGGUCGUUCCCUCCGAUAAUAGACAACGGUGGGCAAGUUGUGCCCCCUCCUGGUAUUAACUAGAAAAUCACUUGCUGUAUAUUACAAACGUGGGAGCACAUGUGAGUGUAUUGUUCGAUUGUCCUUUUUUUUUAGCACCUGCCUCACAAAUGAUUUCUGUGUGCAUGUUGUGCACUUGUAUAGAAAGUUUGUUGAAUAUUACAAAUGUAUAGACCUUGUUGUUCAGCCUUGCCUGCUUGCAUUUGACCUAAGUUUACUGCUUGUGGUGUACAACCCAUAUUAUUGCUUGGCCAUUUCACUUUUGUUUUUUUAUCGGAAGACAAUUUCUUUAGAAGAUCCUGAAGUUGAUGUUUCACUGGCUCAAAUUGGUUAUUUUUAGGGGUGAGCAAUACUUGCGUGGCUGGUUGCAAUGUUUUGUUUGGAUGAUUAACAUGUUUGCAGCUUACGUUUUCCUACACACACUCGCAAAAGAAAAAGCUCUUCCGCUAUCUGUGGUACAGAAUUCAGUGAAGCUCCCCGUGUCUUUCACACCACUAUGUAGAUGUGCACAGUACUCACAAAUUGAGGUAACCGCAUCAUGUCGCUAAAAAUCUUGCUGCUAAAGGUAAUGUUGGCUCUAAUGCAAGUGUUAGUCAAAAUGACGCCUGUAUAUCGCGAGAAUGAAGACACUAGAAACAAAUGUUUGUACAUUACUUAGCCCUGUACCUUAAAACUAAAUAUGUAGCUAAAUAAACACACAACUAACUACUAUAUGCUUUACAUCUUUGGUUCUGCAAGAGUAAUGUGUACCUUGAAGCAGAAUGUUUAAUUAAAGGAAUCCUGGACCACUUCCCAAGUAGUCAAGGAAUGACUUGAGUAUCUUAGUUCAUUGCCUCAAGAAUGUGUUGAAUUCGUCAAGAACGAGCAGAGUUACAGGGACUUAUCGUGCUCCUUAAGCGCUUUCUCUCUUCUUUUGUCACUUAGAAGAACAGUGUCACAAUGAGUGAGCUGGAAGCUACACAGAGAGGUAUGGCACAGGGAAAAGAAGUUACGUCAGCGCGUGUCAUGACCUUGAGUGCGCGUGAUGAAAUGGGAUCGCGCUCUUCUAUUGAAAUUUGUGUGGCUGCUAGUGUAGCUGCUAUCUAUUGUUAGCAGACUAUGUAGUGUGGUGCAGGCACCUGGUGGCAUCCUGUGGCAAGGAGCGCAUCUGAUCCAAAUGCCGCUCUUGAUUUAUAACGGCUAUUGGCCAAUAAGCAUGCUAUCUGUUGUUUGACGUCAAACAGCAGGUGCCGGCAGAGUGAGCAUAGGCCUCUGUAUGGAAAGAGGGCACCUGUUAAAAUGAUAAGUUCGUGCUCUGCUUGUAAGCUCUCCAUCCCAUGCAUGACCACAAGACUUGGCCGAAUUGUUCAUAGCAGUGUCCGCUUUCCCUGGAUGUGUUUUUUCACCAUGCACGAGGGGUGCUUCAUGACCCCUUUAAGUUUUACUGUGUAGAAUUCUUUAGUUUAAGUAAACUUUGUGGUUUGCCACGCAAGUGAUGUCCACUUCUCUCGAGCAAGCCACCGGAUGUCGCAGAAUAGCGAUAUAUGCAACAGAUGAUUCUUCUGUCAUUUGGGGGUCAUGAUUUCUUUCGAAUGAUGGCACUCUUAGGAUUGUGCUUUUAGGCUUGCAAUAUGGUUUGAAGAAUUUUUCUUGUGCAGUACAGUUUUCGUCUAUAAUAUCUGCAACAAUUUGUGUAGAUUCUGUUUCAGCACCCCAUUUUAAGAAUAGGGGCAUGGAUUGUCACUUUCGAGUGUAUGUACACCAGGUUGCUUGCAAUUGAAUUAUAUACUAUAUGUGUACGCGAUUCUUCGUUCAGUUGGCAGUUGCACUGUCGACUUGUCGGACAAGGUUCAGAUUUUUUACCUUUGUUAGUGUUAUUGAAGUUUGCCGGAAUGUGCAAAUCAUUUCAAAGUCGUUAUUUAUAGACCACCCUGUUCGCAUGUGAACGAAGACAUGUCGUAUUAUAUACAUAGAAGUUAUCUCACAUACCGUUCUCUGCACAUCUCUUCUAUUCAUAGUUUUCGGAGUGUACUGUGGUAGCAUAUAAUUAGGAUGCUUGAAUCUUCAAGAGUAAAGGUUGCUCAGAUGCACGCCAUUGAGGUGGUAUGGAAAUGUCGAAAUGCACAGAAAAUGUGCUUCAAACCAGCAUUGCAUACAAACCUGCGAAACUUGUACAAAUGGGGGCACUAUCGUUGUGCGACACAUUGUUCAACGCUGUACCGUGGUUGGCUUGUGGUUUGGUCCCCGUUAGUUUGGUGCACCGCACUCAUCGUUGGCACACUCGUUAAAUGUCUAGCAGUGAGCAUAGCUUGUUAGCAGAGCACUUCGGACUCUUUGCAAACCGCACUUUUUUGGAGACUAUACAGUGAUGAAUUCGUAUUGAAACAUAUGUGGUUUGUGAUGAUUGUUGUAGCGGAGGGCUAGCCGUAGAUUGGUCUUGAUUUCUUGUUUGUUAUUGUAACUCGCACCAAAAUCUCAACGCAGCCGUUUCGACAUUGAUGCAACCAGAGAGCAGCUGCUGUGACUAGGAAUUGAAACAACCACCUCUCACUGAAUUGUAGAAUGGCGAUUCACAUGGCAGCUGAAGAACUGCAGUGGGUCUUUUAGAUGAAAUGAGUUGUUGACAAACAUUACACAUGUAAUGCCAGUAUGCUUCACUGGUGGAGGUUUUUACCAAACACUUCUUUUGAACCAGGGCAGUUUAUUAGCGAAUCAAUACCCCCAAGAUUGCCAGUGCCGACUGGAUAAUGGAAGCUACGCAUCAAGCACAUUGGCAGGUCCUCGCGUCAUCCUGUGCCUUUAGUCUUUGCCGCCACGCACCUGAAAUUUGAUGUGGGCCGAUUGGGCAAGACAUAGUCCACCAGUUCUGUCUAGGUCGAUAAGGGUCGUGUUGAUCUCGCGGUGAUCUCUUACUGUCAUGUGAUCAAUUUGUUUAGUGCUCAGACCUGAACGAACCAAGUGCCAACCUGACUUUUAAACAAUUAAUACUUCCUUCGUGGCUUCCGGUGCUACAAACUUCCAAAAUGCGUACUACUUUUGACCUUCCCUGUACAAUGCUUGGUAACAAUGUCCUUUAGAUAUUUACUGUGCGCCGUUUAUCAGUACUUCGUCACGGGGGCAUUUAGAGCGGCGGCGCUCGUCUUUACACUGUUAAACAUUGUCUACAGGCCAGGCACCCUGUGUUGUUUGUGGAAAGCUCUGGAAGAGACAGUUCUGGAGAUGUUGCUUGAUUUACAGGAAUGCAACUUUCAGAUCAGAAGGGACUGCUGCACUGUCGCUAAGUAGUACUGUUAUGUCGAAGCACAGCCACCUUGUACAGUCCCAUGUACUGCUGCUGAUGUCAGUGUUACUUGAAGCGGGCCGAGGCUGCUGUGUCUUGCAAUAGUUUAAAUUGUAGGGUGCGUAAUCUGUUCUGGCGACAGGUAGAUGUGGGCAGGUGUCUUUGAGGCUUCCCUUAUUCUCUAUCUAGCUGACUCGGAAGUGUUACUAGAAGCAAAGCGUGCACAGUCUAGUCAUUGACACACUGGUCGUUUUUUGCAGGGUUACGAGUGGCAGACCUUUAAAAUGAAGUGGUUGCAACACUAUAGGGACGUGAAAGAGAAUGUGAAAUUUUCGCAUUACACACGGGAAAUACUAAGUCAAUCGUUUUCGUUCGCAAGUGUAGUAGGUAAGGCAAGUCAGAGAAACUUGCACCGACUCUUGUUGCAUUUGUUUGUAGAUUAUAACAUCUGCUUGAAGCAAGUUCAGUACGAACCUUGACAAAUGCCGAUGUGGUGAUGUUAACUCUGACACAUUUGUCGCCAGUAUUGGCAGUUUCCAAAUAUUGUAAAAAGAUUGCAUAUCACAGAGAUAAUUUUCGGCUGUGAACAGCUUCAUUAAAGCAGUUUUCUGCUGUCCUUGUCAAAAGAGAAGCGGGCCGUGUUGCAUUAAAAAAAGCGCUCGCUGAACUUUGACAACCGUUGUCAACUCUGCCUGCAUACAAGCUGUCCAAACACACGUAUACGCAGUGACACCUGUGAUGACGCUGCAGUGAUCAUGGGCAUUGCAAUUUGAGGAUAAAAACU